GCGUUGGAAGACUCUGUGGUCGAUGCGUCGGCACUAGCUGUAGAGGUCACUGAUGUGACCGUCGUAGCGUUGGAAGACUCUGUGGUCGAUGCAUCAGCACUAGCUGUGGAGGUCUCUGAUGUGACCGUCGUAGCGUUGGAAGAUUCAGUAGUGGACGCCUCUGCACUUGUCGUGGACGUCUCCGACGAGACCGUUGUAGCGUUGGAAGACUCUGUGAUUCAGUAGUGGACGCCUCUGCACUUGUCGUUGACGUCUCCGACGAGACCGUUGUAGCGUUGGAAGACUCUGUGGUCGAUGCAUCGGCACUUGUUGUGGAGGUCUCUGAUGUGACUGUCGUAGCGUUGGAAGACUCUGUGGU